GCCUUCGUGGUGUACUUGGAAGCACGCUCGACUUUUAUUCGGGAGGUCCGCAGUUCGAAUCCCCGCGAGGGCA